AGAGUUUGAUCCUGGCUCAGGAUGAACGCUGGCGGCGUGCUUAACACAUGCAAGUCGAACGAAGCACCUUAUUCUGAUUUCUUCGGAAUGAAAAAUUUGGUGACUGAGUGGCGGACGGGUGAGUAACGCGUGGGUAACCUGCCUCAUACAGGGGGAUAACAGUUAGAAAUGACUGCUAAUACCGCAUAAGACCACAGCACCGCAUGGUACAGGGGUAAAAACUCCGGUGGUAUGAGAUGGACCCGCGUCUGAUUAGGUAGUUGGUGGGGUAACGGCCUACCAAGCCGACGAUCAGUAGCCGACCUGAGAGGGUGACCGGCCACAUUGGGACUGAGACACGGCCCAAACUCCUACGGGAGGCAGCAGUGGGGAAUAUUGCACAAUGGGGGAAACCCUGAUGCAGCGACGCCGCGUGAGUGAUGAAGUAUUUCGGUAUGUAAAGCUCUAUCAGCAGGGAAGAAAAUGACGGUACCUGACUAAGAAGCACCGGCUAAAUACGUGCCAGCAGCCGCGGUAAUACGUAUGGUGCAAGCGCUAUCCGGAUUUACUGGGUGUAAAGGGAGCGUAGACGGAGUGGCAAGUCUGAUGUGAAAACCCGGGGCUCAACCCCGGGACUGCAUUGGAAACUGUCAAUCUAGAGUACCGGAGAGGUAAGCGGAAUUCCUAGUGUAGCGGUGAAAUGCGUAGAUAUUAGGAGGAACACCAGUGGCGAAGGCGGCUUACUGGACGGUAACUGACGUUGAGGCUCGAAAGCGUGGGGAGCAAACAGGAUUAGAUACCCUGGUAGUCCACGCCGUAAACGAUGGAUACUAGGCGUGGGGAGGUAUUGACCCCUUCCGUGCCGCAGUUAACACAAUAAGUAUCCCACCUGGGGAGUACGGCCGCAAGGUUGAAACUCAAAGGAAUUGACGGGGGCCCGCACAAGCAGUGGAGUAUGUGGUUUAAUUCGAAGCAACGCGAAGAACCUUACCAGGUCUUGACAUCCCGAUGACCGCCUUAGAGAUAAGGCUUUUCUUCGGAACAUCGGUGACAGGUGGUGCAUGGUUGUCGUCAGCUCGUGUCGUGAGAUGUUGGGUUAAGUCCCGCAACGAGCGCAACCCUUACGGUUAGUUGAUACGCAAGAUCACUCUAGCCGGACUGCCGUUGACAAAACGGAGGAAGGUGGGGACGACGUCAAAUCAUCAUGCCCCUUAUGACCUGGGCUACACACGUACUACAAUGGCAGUCAUACAGAGGGAAGCAAAACCGCGAGGUGGAGCAAAUCCCUAAAAGCUGUCCCAGUUCAGAUUGCAGGCUGCAACCCGCCUGCAUGAAGUCGGAAUCGCUAGUAAUCGCGAAUCAGAAUGUCGCGGUGAAUACGUUCCCGGGUCUUGUACACACCGCCCGUCA
rnacentral:rRNA from 1 species